CCUGCCUUCCUUCCAGGUGGAUACAUGGCAAAAUUGCAAUGAAAAGGGGGCUUGGAAGGGGCUGGAGGAUCUCAGGGGCCCAGGUGUUCACUCUGCAGUGUCAUCCCUGCUGGUGCAGAGAGAUGGAGAAAUCAUCAGCCCAGGCCAAAAUCUCAUACAGCGUGUGUUACUGCAGAGCUCCCUCUUGAGCAGCUCAUUCCAGCCUGGGUGACACUGCACACGCAGGCAUGGAGGGAAGGGACAGGAUGGGCUCUGCUGCACUGUGGAGAGCUCGGGGACUUGCACCCAGGGGUCUCUCUCAGAGAGAGGCAGCAUAGGGCUCCCUGGGACACAGCAGAGCAUGAGCCAAGCUGCACACAGACACAGCUGGAGUGGGGAACAUAGCCAGGCUUAGCUCCUGGAAUUUUAAAUGCCAUUUCAGUGGUUAUAUUUGGUGUGCUAUAAAACUUAAUUAGUAUAGCUCCAUGUGAUCCUGUGUAAAAUCUUGUCUUCAUCCCAAAGAAGGGAUGUGCUGGAAGCACUUGAAGCAGCCCCAGAGAGAGAAAUCUCAGCUCCAGACAGUCACUGCCUGCACUCGACCAGAGCCUCCUCAUACAAAUUGAAAAAUACCACUGAAAAAAACCCACUGAAACUGAGGAAUUUCAGCCUCUGGACUCCAAGAUGCUCCUUAAACUUAAACCCUGUAAGGCAAUCAAGUGUGGUUUUUUCAUCCCCAAGGUAAGUAUACAGAACAAGAGCCUGAAGAGAAGAAACAAGAUGUCCUGGUCACAACAUCUGGCUUAAGCCCACCAUGCUGGCUGAGGCUGGAGUUAUUAGCAGCAGUAACAAAGGAGGCUCAGACUAGAACCUAAGUCUGAGAAGGGUUAAUGGGUUCCAUCAUACCACCGGAGUCUUUAACUCUAGGUGUGGUUUCUUCUUCAGCUGAGAGAUGUCCCAUGAACCUGUCCUGAAGUGGCAAAGAGCUCAAUGCCCAGCUCUGAAGGACCACUGUUCAUACAGGUUCACUCACACUAAUUCCAACUUGGACCUUUCCUGACCUACAUCUCCUAAGGACUUCAUCAAUUUGUGUUCAUUCUUCCUUCUUUUAGCUGACUUAGAAGUAUGACCUCUUACUGUGGUUCUGAACUGACCUGUGUUAAAAGCUGGAGUUCAGCUGAAGUGCCAGCAGGGAUUUCAACAAGGUGGUAUUACACAAGUCAUACCUACUCACUGCAUGCACACAGCUGACAGAAUCACUCCAGGUGAUUCUGCUUUCUUCAGGACAAGAACUAAUCCAUCAGGAAGGUUUCACUGUCAUCACUGUUCCAGGAGACAGGGUGUGAAUUCAGUCAAGAGGCCCACUUGAGCUGUACUUGGCAUCUCUAUCUCCACAUUUCUCAGUCCAAGAACCAAGGCAGAGGGCUGAUACCACUGGCUGCUCUCUGCCCUUGCCAUAGCCUGAGCCCAAGCACGCAUGACAUGUAGCCUUCCUUUUAACACUGGAACACACAUAAAGAACUGUAAAUGGUGACCAACAAACUGGGGAACAAUUAAUGACUACCAGGCAUCCCUGUUCUAUCCCUGUGAAAAAUCCAGUCUGCGAGACUCAGUGCACAGUUUACCAGAUGUACCUUCAAAAGGCAGAGCCACUUUUUCUUUGGCCCUGGCAUCGGGUCAGAAGAACUUGUCCAUAUGUCACAUGCACUGGUCUCUGUCAACAGAGCUUGAUCUAGAAAGUAAAAGGCAGUGCUUCUCUUUCAUAAAGCCAGUUGCAUCAGAGGUCAUCAUUAGCUCAUCAUAUUUUGAUGCCAGGAGUCUUAGCUAGAACUUUUGUACCUUCUUUUCAAUAUUAAUUAACUAUAAGAACAUCUAAAGGCGAGGGUCCCAUUGGAAACAUUUUGCUUCUUACUACAUGGACCUUUUCUCUGCUUGCUUGUGACUCCACAUUGGGAAGAAACUUCCCUUCCUUGCAAUGUAAUGUGACCUUAGUUUCCUCAUACCACCACUAUUUUGCUGAAAAUAAGAGAACUGCAGGAUAAGCCUUGUUUUGGUUGGAAUGGCAAAACAUUACCAGUGUUUGAAGGUCUAUAAAAUAACUUCAAUUUCUAAAAUUUUUAAUAUAGUUUUUCCACUUCAUCCAUUUCUCAGAGACAACAUAAGAUCAUUCUUUACAUUGUACAUUCUGGAAUGCUACAAGCAUUCUUAUUGGGUUUUGUUUGUUUGGGUUUUUUUUUUUUUUUAAAUUGACCAAUCAAACCUUUUCAAUUGUCUUAAAUCCACCGUUUGGCAUAGCAAGGAGAACAAGCCUGUAACUCUUCUCAUCUCCACAUUUGAGGUCUGCCUCUGCUGACACUGCCAUGAAACAUGCCCAUUUCAUCCUGACUGAUUAAAAAAAAAGUACUCAUAAUGAACUGUUCUCAUAUUAAGCCAUGUGAUAAACAUUUUCAGUCAACACAGUCCUGAAAAGAUGAAAGGACUUGCAAGUAACAACUAGCUAGAAUAUAAAUUCACUACCAGUGCCUGCUGCCUUUUUAAAACCUAGCAAUCCAUCUACCCUCCAGUGCUUUAGUGCUACAUCUUAUACCCUUCCACGAACAAAUGAAGACACAACAGAAACCUGUUGAAAUCUCUAAAGCCAUGUAAAACCCGAAGGCAUUAAAAUUUAUUAAAUGAUGCAAUAACAACAGAAUUCUUUAUUUACAAUAGCAUUAUUUAACAUCAAAUAAGCAAAUAGCAUCAGCAAAGCAAUAUUAACUUGCAUAAAUGUAUUUAAAAUUUCUCUGAAUAUAUCUACCUUUGCAUAAACUGCUAACACUAGAAAUACAAACAUCAAUGCAGGUGAACAAAGUGAUGUUCAGAGUCAACUCCGUUUUGAAAAUAAAUCACAACCUGAAACACUGUAAGCUUUCUCCUGAAGAACCAUAGUUUAUAUAUUGCUUAAUUUUACCCUUGUAUAAUCUUUUCAUAUACACACAUCUCAGAUGCAACUUCAUGAUGAACUGUACAAAUAAAACCCACAAAUGACAUAAAGGGAAAAAAAAUUAAAUGACAGUAAAUGUUUGAAGAAAUGUGUCCAUCAUCUCUAUUGAACAACAUAAAGAUUAAGUGAUGAUGCACUUAUUCCAAAAUUGUACACAAUUCACUAUACAAAUAUAAUACAUCAGACAGCUAUGUAGGAAUAUACAAGACUUAAAAACAGAUCUAAGGCAUUAUGCUAGAUUUUAGCAUUUUGAGGUUCUUGCACAUAGCUUUUACCUGUAGUAAGAAACUUAAAAGAUUUUGUUUUAGUCUACAAAGAAACACCAGGGAGAAAAUUCUAAUUAAAAUCAAAGCCACUACAGUAAAUUUUCUUUUGUGCAGAGAAUGCUUUUGCUCUUAGGCAGCAUACUACCAUACAAAUACUAGAAAACUUUUAAAUUCACACCAACAAUUAAUGGCUUAAGUUGCAUUUCAAAACUGAUUGUGUAUCUUUGGGUUCUGCAAGUGGAGCUGUGCCACCCAUUUCUUCUGUUAAGCCCAUAUGAAUUCCGCUUUUAAACAAAGAUUAAAAAAUGUAUUGUAUAAACUGCAAAAACAUUGCUUUUAAUUAAUACAGGCCCAAAGGGAUACCGGUGUGGGACAAUAUUUUAAGGAUUGAGUACAAAUUAACUCCUUGUAGCAAAACAGCUCACUUCACUUUUUAAACUCACCACAUUACAUGAACACUUAAACGGGUCGUACGACCAUGUAUAUAUGCUUAUUUUUCACAUUAUGCGCCUUUCACAUUUAAUAAUGUAAAUAGAACACUGAUUAAUUGUUCUCUUAAAACAAAAUCCAAGUACUUUCUCUGACAAAUUUACUGUAUACAGGAUGAAAAAUACUGAUAAUGAAGGGAAUUGAUUUGGCUUUUUUGUUUCUAUAGUGAUCAAUAUGAUCAGAAGAUUCCUUCACUCACUUUUCUCUUUCAUUACUUAGAAGACGACAAAAGUCACAAUGAACCCAAACGGAGCCAAUGUGAUAGGUACAAUCUCCUUUCUUUCAAAAUGGCAAUGGAUGAUGAAAUAUCAUAAUCACUACAGAUAAGGGUUUGCAGGUCUGUUGUGAAAUGGGACAAAUUUAAACUAUUUUU